CAGAACAAACAGGAACUUACAAACGAAGACAGGAAAACAAGGGAGUGUCAUGUGACAGUCACGUGAGCGCUACUCCUCACCAUUUCUGAAGGCUGAUGUGCAAGUUGGAGAAAGUCUCAAGAAAAGGGGACACUCCGACACUGAAUCCUCUGCUGGCGAGGAAUUGCGUUUUUCUCCUGAACCAAUGGAGUCAACACAGGAGGGUACACAUUCAAUAGAAAAUCCGCGAAGUAGACGUCAUAACGACGAUGAUGACCCAAACAGUCAAAUUGAAAAUCCAUCACCUGUUCAAAAAAGAACUUCCAGGCGUGGUGGUCGCGGACAACGUGGUCGUGGCAGUCGUGGUGGACGUGUAGGCCGUCUGAAAUCAUAUCAACACGCUGGAGGUCAAUAC